rnacentral:lncRNA from 1 species
GUUUCCUGAGCAGAUGGGAGUGUCUAGACAUAACCCCUGCAUGAAAUCUUGGAGAAUGGGAGAGGCAACAAAAAGACUAAAGGUCUUCUUCCAAAGAGUAAUGAGAGGUCUACCAGAGCGACCUUCCAGAGCAUACCAGAGGUGCAGAGACUGGCUUCUGUCAAACCAACAGGAAAAUGGACAGAUAACUCACAAAGAAAUUGGACCAGCUACCUUCACAAUGCUUUAUUUGCUGCUGUUUUAAAAUCACAUCUCAUCAGGUUGAUCAUUUUAUAUCGCUAACCUUCUUCUGCCCAUGUUCUUUUCUUGUCUUCUACAGGUUGAAAGCAC